rnacentral:lncRNA from 1 species
CUAAAUAUAAUUUGUAUACACAUUUAAUGAAUAUUUUUAAUACAUAUAUAAAAUACUAUAUUAAAAUUUACGAAAUACGAUUAUAACUACUACUUGCGUAAGAUGUGAUUGGGUGACAAGUGAUUAUCAUAGGGUGAGAUAAGCUUAUUGAUAUUUGUUAUCUCUAUUUCUAGAAUUGUAAACCUAACGAAUCAAAAAAUAGCAAGACAAAAAGCGAUUAACUGCAACAAACUAAACACACUCAAAACACAGCAAGCAAAAAAGCGAAAAAAAAUUAAUAAUUUUAUUAAACUCGAUAACUAUGAUUAAAAAUGCAUGUUUUGCCUCUCCUUUGUAGAUCGCUCCGCACGAAUCAUCUUCCGUCUCUCCCAAGAUUUCUCCGCACGAUUCUUCUUCUCUUUCUUCUUCUUGUCUUUCUCCUCAAGUUCCUCCCCUAACUCAUUCUUCUUUCCCUCCAACUUUCCAUUAUUUUCGUUGUUUUGAGAGAAUACUUUUCCAUUCCCAAAAUCAUCAUCAAGAAGAUGAGAAGAGAAUACUUUUUCAUAUCCAAAAUCACCAUCAAGACGUCUUGUUGUUGGUGCCAUGAUUUUGUAUAUGAGCUAUGUAGUGAACAAAUAAGAGGUAAGAGACUUGGAUUGAAAAUAUGUAAUAAACGCCUCUUCUAUUUAUAAUACUAACAAAACCAAAUUAAAUUACAACUAACAAAUCCUAAUUAAACAUAAUUAACUAAAUAGUAUAAAUAACAAAUCCUAAACUAACUAGAAAUUCUAUAAUUAAAUUACCAUAUAUAAAUAAUAAAUUCUAAACUAUUAAGGAAUCAUAUUCUUGGUUUAUUUCCUCAAAAAAAAAAGUAAUUCGUUAAUUUUUAUUUGGGAUUCGAAAUACAUUGAUAACAAUUGAAUAUGUUAAUACAAAAGUAUACCAACAAAAAAAUACAGUUAGAUUAUAUUUGAACCAUCUUCAACGGAUCUAUUCUCAAUAUAUAUUCAAUUCCUUACAUACUUUGAUAAACAAUGAUUAUUUAUUGAUUCUAAAUUUAAUUUGUAUACACAUUUAGUGAAUAUUUUUAAUACAUAUAUAAAAUAUAGUAUAUUAAAAUUUACGAAAUACGUAAAUUAUAACUACUACUUGCGUAAGAUGUGAUUGGGCGACAAGUGAUUAUUGAAGGGUUGAGAUAAGCUUAUUGGUAUUUGUUAUCUCUAUUUUUAGAAUUGUAAACCUAACAAAUCAAACACUUUUGUUGGCAACUUGCAUUGCUUCAGCCUUUAUAGAAACUUUUUGUUACACAUUCCACUUGAGCACAAAAAGACAUUCUUCACGAUAAUGAUCACCUGAAAUCAGUUUUCGAGCUAAUUUUUUUUAUCUGGGGUUCGACAUUCAUAGUGAACUCGGAUUAUUUUGGAUUUACACCACAUAGAAUCCUAUUGGGGAGGAAGCGUUCCCUACCAAAGAUUUUUUUAUAUUGAUUAAGAGAGGAGCAACUCAUCUAUUGCACUAUAUCAUUCGGUAAUAGUUUUCCGGGCUAGUUUUCUGGACGUGGAUUUCGAAUUUUAAUAUUAUAAAUUCAUAUUUGAUACUUUUGUUUUAGUAAAUUUUUAAUAUAUAUAUACAAUUUGGGUCCAAAUAUACGAUUUUAUAAUUUGUGCCUAAUGCAAUGAAAAAAAAAAAGGAGUUUUAGGUUAAAGGAUUUGGUAGAUUUCAAAGGCAAAUUUUUUGACUACAUAAACUUUAGAUGAAAGGAUUAUAGAAUUAGUAUAAUAUAAGAUCCGCAUCUUGAAAUUUUCAAAAAAGAAUGCGUAUAUAAAAAAAUAUAUUAAUUUACUAUGAAUAAAGAAAUAAAAAAAAUUUUAAAUAUAAGUAGCAGAUUUUCAGAUUGCACCACUUUUUUUUUAAAAUAAAAUAAUUAAAUUUGAUCUAGUAAACCUCGAAAUCUUACAUAUGAUGAUGAAAAUCGUCAAUAAAUCAAUCAUGUUUUAGAGGCAUUAUUCUGAGAAAUUAUCCAUUAAAGUGAAUUCAAUUUCUCUGACUUAAAAGGACAGAAUAUAUUCUAGCAAGAAAUUACACAUUGCGCUAUACAGUUCAUGUACACUUAAACGUGCACAUAAACUAGGAAGUACAUAUUAUAAUUAACUUUGUGGAACAUAAUAUUGUUGGAAAACUAUAUGCACAGCAGAAGCAUACAUAGAAUAAUACUUCUUACAUGACAAAUAGAUAACCAAAUCGUUUAUACUAGAACAUAUACAAUUAUGCUAGAACACAUAAACUUGCUGAAAUUUAAUUCAAGAAUUACCUUUUGAAGUGUGAGCAGAUAGACAGCAACUAUGUAGUCUUCUACAAUGAUCCCAAGUUCACCUCCGAACUCUCUCAACUCUCUCAAUACUUGGAUGGGUAGGUAUGCUAGAAAACAAUUGAUUCAGCUUCUAGGUUAGGAGAAUCCCUACUUAUAGAAAUUUCUUCCCAAUCCAAAAAGGAGAAGAAAACCUAGCACGUUCGUUUUUGUUGAAGUACCAAAACUAACGCUCUUC